UACGUAGGGUGCGAGCGUUAAUCGGAAUUACUGGGCGUAAAGCGUGCGCAGGCGGUUCGCUAAGACCGAUGUGAAAUCCCCGGGCUUAACCUGGGAACUGCAUUGGUGACUGGCGGGCUAGAGUAUGGCAGAGGGGGGUAGAAUUCCACGUGUAGCAGUGAAAUGCGUAGAGAUGUGGAGGAAUACCGAUGGCGAAGGCAGCCCCCUGGGCCAAUACUGACGCUCAUGCACGAAAGCGUGGGGAGCAAACAGU
rnacentral:rRNA from 1 species